rnacentral:rRNA from 1 species
GGAAUCUUGGACAAUGGGGGAAACCCUGAUCCAGCAAUGCCGCGUGUGGGAUGAAGGCCCUCGGGUUGUAAACCACUUUUGGCAGGAAAGAAAUCGCCUGUGCUAAUACCAUGGGCGGAUGACGGUACCUGCAGAAUAAGCACCGGCUAACUACGUGCCAGCAGCCGCGGUAAUACGUAGGGUGCGAGCGUUAAUCGGAAUUACUGGGCGUAAAGCGUGCGCAGGCGGUUUUGUAAGACAGAUGUGAAAUCCCCGGGCUUAACCUGGGAACUGCAUUUGUGACUGCAAGACUAGAGUGUGUCAGAGGGAGGUGGAAUUCCGCGUGUAGCAGUGAAAUGCGUAGAGAUGCGGAAGAACACCGAUGGCGAAGGCAGCCUCCUGGGAUAACACUGACGCUCAGGCACGAAAGCGUGGGGAGCAAACAGGAUUAGAUACCCUGGUAGUCCACGCCCUAAACGAUGUCAACUAGUUGUUGGGGAUUCAUUUCCUUAGUAACGUAGCUAACGCGUGAAGUUGACCGCCUGGGGAGUACGGCCGCAAGGUUAAAACUCAAAUGAAUUGACGG